rnacentral:lncRNA from 1 species
CACAGCAGCACCACAAGCUCCCCAGCGCGAGAGGAGGGGACGCGGCCCCUGGCACAGGCCCUGCCGGGACAGACGCUGUCCUCUCCACACCAGAGCCCAGCCAGCUGCCGGGAAGGAGCGUUAAAGAACACGGAGUGCAGAGGGCAGGGGAUGUGCUGGGCUCCCCUCCCAGGCUGAAGUUGUCCAUCCAGCCAAACAGGUCAUGAUGCAGGUCUCAGUGACACCCAGCCAUACAGCAUGGAGGACUCUAGCUUCCUCUCCCCCAUCAGCUCCCAAGGCCCAUCUGGAGGAAUCAUGAGGGGCGUUCUCACAUCCUGCUCCCUGAAGAAGCCGGUCCUGCUCGCUGAGCGCUCACCAACGUCACGCCAAGGGAUGACGCAAGCCAUGACUGCUGUCCAGGUCCAAAGGUACAUCAGCACAGUGACUCUGCUCAGUGUUACAUCACAUUGCUGAAGUGAGCACCAGGAAUUACACAAACAUAAGGAGACCUUGGACUCCCUUCAGGUUUUCACCCAACUUCUUCAAACUCCUACUGCU